rnacentral:rRNA from 1 species
GAUGAACGCUGGCGGCGUGCCUAAUACAUGCAAGUCGAGCGAACAGACGAGGAGCUUACUCCUCUGACGUUAGCGGCGGACGGGUGAGUAACACGUGGAUAACCUACCUAUAAGACUGGGAUAACUUCGGGAAACCGGAGCUAAUACCGGAUAACAUGUUGGACCGCAUGGUUCAACAGUGAAAGACGGUCUUGCUGUCACUUAUAGAUGGAUCCGCGUCGCAUUAGCUAGUUGGUAAGGUAACGGCUUACCAAGGCAACGAUGCGUAGCCGACCUGAGAGGGUGAUCGGCCACACUGGAACUGAGACACGGUCCAGACUCCUACGAGAGGCAGCAGUAGGGAAUCUUCCGCAAUGGGCGAAAGCCUGACAGAGCAACGCCGCGUGAGUGAAGAAGGUCUUCGGAUCGUAAAACUCUGUUAUUAGGGAAGAACAAAUGUGUAAGUAACUAUGCACGUCUUGACGGUACCUGAUCAGAAAGCCACGGCUAACUACGUG